rnacentral:rRNA from 1 species
UACGGAGGGUGCAAGCGUUAUCCGGAUUCACUGGGUUUAAAGGGUGCGUAGGCGGGCAGGUAAGUCCGUGGUGAAAUCUCUGAGCUUAACUCAGAAACUGCCACGGAUACUAUUUGUCUUGAAUGUUGUGGAGGUAAGCGGAAUAUGUCAUGUAGCGGUGAAAUGCUUAGAUAUGACAUAGAACACCAAUUGCGAAGGCAGCUUACUACACAAAUAUUGACGCUGAGGCACGAAAGCGUGGGGAUCAAACAGG